rnacentral:rRNA from 1 species
CCUACGGGCGGCAGCAGUGGGGGAUAUUGCACAAUGGGGGGAACCCUGAUGCAGCGACGCCGCGUGGGUGAGGAAGUACUUCGGUAUGUAAAGCCCUAUCAGCAGGGAAGAAAAUGACGGUACCUGACUAAGAAGCCCCGGCUAACUACGUGCCAGCAGCCGCGGUAAUACGUAGGGGGCAAGCGUUAUCCGGAUUUACUGGGUGGAAAGGGAACGUACACGGCGUGCCAAGUCUGGAGUGAAAGGCGGGGGCUCAACCCCCGGACUGCUCUGGAAACUGUGUGGCUGGAGUGCAGGAGAGGCAAGCGGAAUUCCUAGUGUAGCGGUGAAAUGCGUAGAUAUUAGGAGGAACACCAGCGGCGAAGGCGGCUUACUGGACUGUAACUGACGUUGAGGCUCGAAAGCGUGGGGAGCAAACAGGAUUAGAUACCCCGGUAGUC